rnacentral:rRNA from 1 species
UAGGGAAUAUUGGUAAUGGGCGAAAGCCUGAACUAGCAACGCCGCGUGUGCGAAGAAGGCCUUCGGGUUGUAAAGCACUUUUUGAGAGGAUGAGGAAGGACGGUACUCUCAGAAUAAGUCUCGGCUAACUACGUGCCAGCAGCCGCGGUAACACGUAGGAGGCGAACGUUAUCCGGAUUUACUGGGCGUAAAGCGCGUGUAGGUGGUUUGGUAAGUAGGGCGUGAAAGCUCCUGGCUCAACUGGGAGAGGCCGUUCUAAACUGUCGAACUAGAGGAUGGUAGAGGGAGGUGGAAUUCCGGGUGUAGCGGUGGAAUGCGCAGAUAUCCGGAGGAACACCAGUGGCGAAAGCGGCCUCCUGGACCAUCCCUGACACUCAGACGCGAAAGCUAGGGUAGCAAACGG